rnacentral:rRNA from 1 species
UACGUAGGGGGGCAAGCGUUAUCCGGAAUUAUUGGGCGUAAAGAGCUCGUAGGCGGUUUGUCGCGUCUGCCGUGAAAGUCCGGGGCUCAACUCCGGGAUCUGCGGUGGGUACGGGCAGACUAGAGUGAUGUAGGGGAGACUGGAAUUCCUGGUGUAGCGGUGAAAAUGCGCAGAUAUCAGGAGGAACACCGGUGGCGAAGGCGGAUCUCUGGGCCUUACCUGACGCUGAGGCGCGAAAGCUAGGGGAGCGAACAGG